rnacentral:tRNA from 1 species
CAGAGGGUAGUUUAUAAAAAUAUUAGUUUUGGGGAUUAAAGAUAGGGCGGUAGCUUUACCUCUGA